rnacentral:rRNA from 1 species
GGGGGAAAAAUUAAAUAAAAAUAAAUAAAAAAAAAAUUUUUAAUAUAUUAAGGGGGGUUUUAGUAUAUUUAUAAAAAAAAUUUUUUAAUUUAUAGUUUAAUAGUAUUGUAAAAGAAUUUUGAAAUAAUUAAAAAAAAAAUUUAAUUAAAAGUAAUUUUAAUUUAGUGUAUCUUGUGUAUCAGAGUUUAUUAAAAAUUUUUAUAUGAAAAAUAAAUUCUCGAAUUUAAAAGAGAUAAUUAAUUAUAAAAGUUAUUGUUGCAUAAAUAUUUUUAAUAAUUAAUUUGAAAUGAAAUGUUAAUCGUUUUUAAAUAUAUCUAGUUUUUUUAGAAAAAAAUUUAAUUUUAAAUUAAUUAUUAAAAAUUUAUUAAAUAAUUAAUAAAUUUUUAUUUUUAAUUUUAUAUUUUAAGGGAUAAGCUUUAAAUUAAAUUUAUAUAAAAUUAUUUUUAAAUAAAUUUUGAAAUUUAUAUAAAUUAUAUUUUUAAUUAAUUUUAGUUUAUUAUAAAUAAUUUCAUUAAAAAUAAAAUUUAAUUUAUUUUUAUUUAGUUAUAAAAAAAUAUUUUUUAAUUAAUAAAAAUUAGUUAUAAUGAUAAAAUUAGUAUAUAAUUUAAAUAAAAUUUUUAUUAUUUAUGAAAAUUAGUUAAAAUUAAUUCGGCAAAUAUUUAUAUUCACUUGUUUAUCAAAAACAUGUCUUUUUGUAAAUAAUAUAAAGUCUAAUCUGCCCACUGAUUUUAUAUUAAAGGGCUGCAGUAUUUUGACUGUACAAAGGUAGCAUAAUCAUUAGUCAUUUAAUUGAUGACUUGUAUGAAAGAUUGGAUGAAAUAUAAACUGUCUCUUAUUUAUAUUAUAAAAUUUAAUUUUUUAAUUAAAAAGUUAAAAUAAAUUAAAAAGACGAGAAGACCCUAUAGAGUUUUAUAAAAAAAUUAAUUAUAAUUAUUUAUAAAUUUAAUAUAAAAAUUAAUUUUUUUAUUUUGUUGGGGUGAUAAAAAAAUAUAAAAAACUUUUUUUAUAAUAUAACAUAAAUAAAUGAAUAUUUGAUCCAAUAUUAUUGAUUAUAAGAAAAAAUUACCUUAGGGAUAACAGCGUAAUUUUUUUUUUUAGUUCAUAUAAGAAAAAGAGUUUGCGACCUCGAUGUUGGAUUAAGAUAAAAUUUAAAUGCAGAAGUUUAAAAAUUUUGAUCUGUUCGAUCAUUAAAAUCUUACAUGAUCUGAGUUCAAACCGGUGUAAGCCAGGUUGGUUUCUAUCUUUUAAUAAUAAAAAUAUUUUAGUACGAAAGGAUUAAAUAUUUAAAUUAAAUUUAUUUAAAUGAAUGAAUAUUAAUAAUUUAGAGAUAAAU